rnacentral:rRNA from 1 species
GUGGGGAAUAUUGGACAAUGGGCGAAAGCCUGAUCCAGCCAUGCCGCGUGUGUGAAGAAGGUCUUCGGAUUGUAAAGCACUUUAAGUUGGGAGGAAGGGCAGUAAGUUAAUACCUUGCUGUUUUGACGUUACCGACAGAAUAAGCACCGGCUAACUUCGUGCCAGCAGCCGCGGUAAUACGAAGGGUGCAAGCGUUAAUCGGAAUUACUGGGCGUAAAGCGCGCGUAGGUGGUUUUGUAAGUUGGAGGUGAAAUCCCCGGGCUCAACCUGGGAACUGCCUCCAAAACUGCAUGACUAGAGUACGGUAGAGGGUAGUGGAAUUUCCUGUGUAGCGGUGAAAUGCGUAGAUAUAGGAAGGAACACCAGUGGCGAAGGCGACUACCUGGACUGAUACUAACACUGAGGUGCGAAAGCGUGGGGAGCAAACAGGAUUAGAAACCCGGGUAGUCC